CUGCAGGACCACUAACAUUUUAUAUGUGUUCGGUUACUUGUCAAUUAAAAAAUUGUAGGAGAGUAAGAACAGCUUAUACUCUCUCUUGCUAUUUAUGUAUACAUAUGUUCAUAUUAUUAAAAGGCCAAGGGUUUUUAAAGGCGAGUUUGUGGUACUUACUACGGUCAAACAGCCGAAUGGAUUUUGAAGAAAUUGGCAUCAAUCGAAAGAUAUUUUUUCAGAGAUGCUUGAAAUAUGCAUGAAAAUAAAUUUUCCAAAAAGAAAGACCACGAAAAUGAGAAAUAAAAGAAGAAGCAGAAAAAGCAAAUUGUUUUUGCUUUUCUCUUAAGCAUCCGUUAUUUGUGUGAAUCCAAUGUCAUUUGGUGGGAGCAUGAGAUAAGUAAGAGUAAGAAAGGCAACUGGUAGAUGAUGUGUGUGAGAAAGAGUAUCACUAUUUAGCUGAGAGUGCAAAGAGGACUGAAAUAAAAGAGAAAUUUUUGUGCUCUCAAAAUUUUACAGCAAAUGUCAAGCUUAUAGGUGUCGGUAAUUAUUUUAUUUUUCUUCAAAACAAGCAGCUCUGCCGAAAAAAAUUGAAGAAAUCAAAUUAACAGCAAAAAGAAAAGAAAUAAAUGAAGGAAUGAUACACUUAUUGGAAGCUACGACUACCGAAAACUACAAUAAUAUCGUAUACGCGCAUUACGCCAUAGUUUGUCAUAAAGCUGACAAAAUAUCUGUGGCACUAUCGAUAUUUAAUUUUUUGACUGAAUAUCGAUUGAUAUUUUUUAGAUGGAUACUAUCGCAAAAGUUAACUUUUUUGCAAAACUAAACAAAAAAGCAAUCCGACACUGAACGUAUCCUUUAAGAUACAUUACGCCUAUUAAGGGCGCAAUUUUCAUCCGAUUAUGCCAACAUUCUGUACAAUAAUUUUGUACAAUAAAAUCUGAUGUGCAUUGAUAUUGCUUCUAUAUAAAUCGAUCUCCUUAUUUUUACAUCUCAUUUUCGUUUGAAAUAAAUGUGAUGGGAAAUUAUAAUCGAAAAUAUCGAAUGCUGUGAUUAUUGAUAGUUUGCCAGCUCUAGUUUGGCAAGAUGCAACCAUAAAACCCAGAUGUUUCUAUUACAAAUACAUUUUUAUAAGGAUAUUUUUAUUCUGUGUAUUGUAAAAGAGGGCAUAACAGAGCUUGCCUGGUUAAAUUAAUAAGCCGGUUUUCAUAAAACAUUUUUUCGAUGUUGCAAAUUGCUGCAGAGAAAAAGACAUACAUCAACAAUUUGCAAGCUUUCAAUUAUUAAACUCUCAAACUUUUGCUCGCACUCUCCCGCUCCUUUCUGCUGGCAAAUAAAAGCUGUGUUCGGGAACUCAAAAAGUUGUGCAAAUUUGCACAAAUUUUUGUUGGAAGUCGUUCGCGUACUUUACUUGCCAGUAGAAGAGAGAGCAGAAAGAGCAAAUUUUGACAGAUCAAACUAGAGAACCUGCAAAUUUGUACUGGGACUUUUCUUGCCAGCAGAAAUUUGCAACUUUGAACAGAUGUUUUGUAAAGAUCAAUUGUUUUAUGAAAAACAGCUGUUACAUGAAAAUCUAACACCAAAAUGGAUCAAAAAGGCAGAGAUUCAAGGCACCAGUCAGAGUUAGGGUACAGAAAACUCGCCAAAUGAUGUAAUUUUAUUUUUAAUGAAGAUUCAAGGCACUUUUAAUGAAGAUUCAAGGCACCAGUCAGAGUUAGGGUACAGAAAACUCGCCAAAUGAUGUAAUUUUAUCUCAAGUCGGUUUUUAUACAUUAGAAGACAUCAAGAAAAGAGCUAUUAUCUGUUUCUUAAGUGUAUUGAUGGAAUCAUCCUCAUCGGAGAGCUACGACGAAAUCAACACCUUUCCUUUGAAUUUGUUACGGAGGGAAGAUGCUGCCAUGGGAUUGAGUGUAUCUGGCUGGGCAGUUAAACAAGUGGCGCACAGUGGGAUUAGAAAAAAAUUAGUGCAAAUUAGUCUGCCAAAUGUGAACGGAAACAGAUAUCUUCAAUGAUAACAAAGUGUCCGUAGCCGCCACAUGACCAAAUGAAAAGCUCCCUUGGCCUCACAUCAGUGGUCAUAGCAAUUUGUCUAGCCACAAUAUCCACAAGCAUUAGAUGGUUAGUCCAAGGUUUCUUUGAAUCGAAGACAUUAUUUGUUGAAGUACGUAAGUCUGUACAAUAGACUUGACAGACAAAAUUAUUGACAUUUUGUUGACUUUCAACAAAUUCUUUAGUUGAGGUAGUUGUGAAAAUAU